rnacentral:rRNA from 1 species
AGCGAACGUUAGCGGCGGGCCUAACACAUGCAAGUCGAGCGAGAAAAGGGCUUCGGCUCUUAGUAAAGCGGCGGACGGGUGAGUAACACGUAGGUAAUCUUCCCUUGAGCGGGGGACAACGAGCCGAAAGGCUCGCUAAUACCGCAUAAGUUUCUCGGGACUCUGGUCCUGGGAAGGAAAGCUAGGCCGCAAGGUCCGGCACUCGAGGAGGAGCCUGCGUCGCAUCAGCUAGUUGGUGGGGGUAANGGCCUACCAAGGCGAAGACGCGUAGCUGGUCUGAGAGGAUGAUCAGCCACACUGGGACUGAGACACGGCCCAGACUCCUACGGGAGGCAGCAGUGGGGAAUAUUGGACAAUGGGCGCAAGCCUGAUCCAGCC